GACGAACGCUGGCGGCGUGCUUAACACAUGCAAGUCGAACGGAAAGGCCCUGCUUUUGUGGGGUGCUCGAGUGGCGAACGGGUGAGUAACACGUGAGUAACCUGCCCUUGACUUUGGGAUAACUUCAGGAAACUGGGGCUAAUACCGGAUAGGAGCUCCUGCUGCAUGGUGGGGGUUGGAAAGUUUCGGCGGUUGGGGAUGGACUCGCGGCUUAUCAGCUUGUUGGUGGGGUAGUGGCUUACCAAGGCUUUGACGGGUAGCCGGCCUGAGAGGGUGACCGGCCACAUGGGGACUGAGAUACGGCCCAGACUCUUACGGGAGGCAGCGGUGGGGAAUAUUGCACAAUGGGCGGAGGCCGGAGGCAGCAACGCCGCGUGCGGGAGGACGGCCUUCGGGUUGUAAACCGCUUUCGCUUGUGACGAAGCGUGGGUGACGGUAAUGGGUAAAGAAGCACCGGCUAACUACGU
rnacentral:rRNA from 1 species